GAUGAACGCUGACAGAAUGCUUAACACAUGCAAGUCAUUGGCGAAGCUGCGCUUGCGCAGUCUAGCCAAGGCGGACGGGUGAGUAACGCGUAAGGAACUUGCCCUGCAGACAGGGAUAACAGACGGAAACGACUGAUAACACCUGGUAUUGUCAGGCUGGCGCAUGCCGGCCUGAUGAAAGGAGACGCUGCAGGAGAGCCUUGCGUCCUAUUAGCUAGUUGGUGGGGUAACGGCCCACCAAGGCGAUGAUAGGUAGCCGGCCUGAGAGGGUGAACGGCCACAAGGGGACUGAGAUACGGCCCUUACUCCUACGGGAGGCAGCAGUGGGGAAUAGUGGACAAUGGGGGCAACCCUGAUCCAGCAAUUCUGUGUGCACGAAGAAGGUUUUCGGAUUGUAAAGUGCUUUCAGCAGGGAAGAAGAAAGUGACGGUACCUGCAGAAGAAGCGACGGCUAAAUACGUG
rnacentral:rRNA from 1 species